UAUAAAAAAAGAUGAGAUUCUCCGUUGAAAUAUGAAAAAGGACAGGAAAAAUUUUAAAAAUAUUUCUUCCGGGAAUUGGUUCCCCAAAAAAUUAAAAAUAAAAGAAUAUAAUCAUUCAUCAAACCCACAACAUUGACAGGCCCGGCCCGCUCCGCUUCCGAAGGCCUUUAGCCGCGUCUUUCGCCGCUUCCCGACAAUCCAUCCGCUCACAGGUUCCCCAAACCGUGUCCGAUCGAUCGAUUGUCGCCUCUGUCGGCGAAGGAACUCGUGCGACGGUGAAAUCGGAGAACAACAAGGGUGGUGAGUUGGGGGGCUCAAGAAUCGAGCAGAGGUGAGUCCUCGUCCUCCCCUUCUGGAGUUCGAGGUCUGCUACGAAGCGCAAUCCAAGUACAAGUUUCUCAGCUGCCUUGCCCCGUACUGUUCCUUGGCAUGCUUCAAGAGCAUAAAGCAAACUCAAGUGAUACGUGAGGCCUUAAAGGUUGGAAGCCUACGAAGAAUAAUACAGAAAAAUUGAUGGCAGUGAUGAUCUGGAAAAUGUAAUUGUUUGCCACCUUGAAAUCACUGUUGCC